rnacentral:rRNA from 1 species
CCCAGACUCCUACGGGAGGCAGCAGUGGGGAAUAUUGGGCAAUGGGCGCAAGCCUGACCCAGCAACGCCGCGUGAAGGAAGAAGGCUUUCGGGUUGUAAACUUCUUUUGUCAGGGACGAAGCAAGUGACGGUACCUGACGAAUAAGCCACGGCUAACUACGUGCCAGCAGCCGCGGUAAUACGGAGGAUGCGAGCGUUAUCCGGAUUUAUUGGGUUUAAAGGGUGCGUAGGCGGGACGGUAAGUCAGCGGUAAAAAUGCGGAGCUCAACUCCGUCGAGCCGUUGAAACUGCAUCCCUUGAGUGCGCGAGAAGUAUGCGGAAUGCGUGGUGUAGCGGUGAAAUGCAUAGAUAUCACGCAGAACUCCGAUUGCGAAGGCAGCAUACCGGCGCGCAACUGACGCUCAUGCACGAAAGCGUGGGUAUCGAACAGGAUUAGAUACCCCAGUAA